rnacentral:tRNA from 1 species
GCCGCCGUGGCACAACCUGGUACUGCGCAGCCCUGGAAAGGCUGUUUCCGAAAGGAUAUCCCGGUUCAAAUCCGGGCGGCGGCG